CACAGGGGUGUCCCGGCCGGCGGCGGCGGCGGGAGGAGCGGGGCGGUGUGAGGGGGGGCGCGAGGAGACGGAGCCGCCGCCAUUUUCUCGCGGCCGGGGGAGGCGGCGGCGGCCGCGGGGCUCUCGCUCGUGUGGCGGCCGCCCCGCCGCCCUCUGCCCGGGGCUGAGCGACCGACUCCCCUCAGCCUUGAGGGACCGCGGGGCCCCGGUGCCGCGCUGCUGUCCCGCUGCGCAGCCCUGUCGCGGUGCGAUGUCCCGUGACACCCCCGGGCCAGCGCCGGCACCGGGUGUUUAUGUGGAGCUGGGCCCGUGCCAGCGCCGCGUUUCCUGACGGCGCUUUAAAGCUCGCAGCUCGGCCCUGGGCCGGCCGGGGAAGCGCAGGGAGAGCCCCCCCGGCGCGGGCAGCGCUCGCUCGGCUCGGCCGGCGCCUCCCAGGCAAACAAAGCGGGCUGAGGCUCGUCCUCCGCUCCCGGCGGCGCUCGGAGCCUCCCGGCUGCUGCGGUGAGGCGUCGGUGUCGCGCUUAAAUUAAGAAACCUGCCAUAAAGGCUUUUAAAUAGAAACCCAGGCGAGCACCCUGUGGUUGGCUUUUCCUUCCCAGCGAGCUGCGCGUCCCUGGCUUGAGCGGAACUUUCCCAAUUUGUGGGAAAUUUGUUUUGAAGGUGUCCAGCGUUUUGGGCAGAUGGAGAAGCUCAGACUGUAGGACCCAAAUAAAGAAAGGCCCUGGAAGCUGCUGUGCCCAGCCACCGAUUCUGGGAACACCUCAAAGGAAAAGAUCUUUUACUGCGAAAUCCGAUUUUCUUCCUUCCUGGCUAGGACAAAGAGCAGAUCUCAAAAGCAAGCUAUUAAAUCCUGGAGUCAGGAAUCAUUAAAGGGACAUUCUUGACCAAAUAUAGGGGUUAUCUAAACAUUUUGGGUUUGGUGGUUGUUUUUGUGUUUUGUUUUUUCCUUUUAAAGACUCAAGCCCAGUGUGUGAUUCCAGGAGGGAAUGUCUCUUCUGAUUGUUUGGUAUAUGACAGCACUUUUGCUGUUCUCUUCACUUGCCUUACAGCUGGAAGUCUGGGAAGGUGCUCCAGGAACUCUGGAAGGUUAAAUUUUCCUUUCAGACACCACCUCAGCCUUUGCAGUGAGGAUUGCACAACUCACCACCACCGGAGAGGAGUUUCCUUUGGGUGCAAUCAUCUUUGUUUGAGAGAACAUUGGGUGGGGGAAAACAAGCUGCUGAGCUAAAGAGAGAAGUUUCAGGCUGUUGGAAACAAAACUUCCUGGGAUUUGGGUAGGAGAACAGUUAUUUUGAGGCUGCAAGGUAGGAUGUGCCACGGGGACUUGUUUUUAUUUGGCAUAAUUGGAAGCUGUGUUUAAGCUGACGAGUCGUUUUCUUUCAUAAUGGACUUUGCUUGUGCAUAUUAAAAGUUCCAAAACCUGG